rnacentral:tRNA from 1 species
AACAUUAUGUCUGAUUAAAGUAAUAAAUUGUAAAUUUAUUUAAGAAAUUUUUUAUUUCUAAUGUUA